rnacentral:lncRNA from 1 species
GGGAUGCAACAUGACCCGAUAAUUUGCAGGUGAAGCAGCGUUGACUGUCUAGGGCUAAAAAGAUAUGAUAUGAUAGAUUAUCAUGUGUUAUUUCUAAGAAUAUUCGGGUAUUGUAAUAUCUGGGGAAGGAGCGAUAUACACCUGUCUUCUGAAGCUGAGUAUGUGUUGGUAUUCUGGAUUUGAUGCACCUAUUCUAAGAAAGUUUAUUGGAGAAACUAAUUUUAAUCCAAUAUUUUCCAGUAAGGUUACAAGAGUUUCGUGUGGGAUCGUUGGGCUUACAUUCGAUAAUACUAGUCUGUCUGCUGGUGAAAUUAGACGUCUUGCUUUGAUGACUUCAUUAUUGACAACAAUUUGACCAUGAUUAGUU